rnacentral:lncRNA from 1 species
GUGACGCGCUGCCCGCCAGGCUGCGGGGGUCGCGGGGCGUCCGCGUGGGCCAGCGGAGGCCCACAGCUGCGGAGGGAAACCACUGGGAGGGGAGAAGGAGCUCUAGGGAGAGCGAGGCUGCAACGAGGGGAGAGCCGGGCGACGGGCAGGGGCCCAGGCGCGCUCCCCGACUUCCCACAGGCGCGCGCAUGCCUGCGUGUCAGGGCGCGCGCUCCCCCUCUCGGACCGAGGCGACCCCAGUCCGUGAGCGGCUUGGAUCCUCGCCCGUUCCCUCCUGGUCGUUUCCGCAGUAACCUCUUAUCAGAGCGGGCAGCUGUGAGUGGCGCUCACAUCCGCCGCUGCCCUGUCGAAUGGGGGAAAGAGUUCUUGUGUUCUGAGGAGGGUUUGGCUAUGGUCCUUGACCCUAUUCUUGUCUCAGACUUGCCUCCCAGGAAUAUAGGAGGAUUGUAUGCCCUGGCCUCCCUGUGAUGGGGUUGAACUACAUGACAUGUUCUCCGAAUUAAGUGUGAGCAUAGCAUUUAAUUGUUGAUGCAAGACCUUCCAGAACUCUUUUUCUCUUUGCCAUGGCAAUCAUCAGUGUUCCAGAGAGCAUAUGCACGAUCAGCCUUGGUAUUGGAGGGAAGAUGAUGCGGAACAGAGUCCCAGUCACAUCAUGAAGGACAUGUAAAAUGCUGUAGAAGAACCUCUUCUGCAAGACCAUUCAUUCAUGCCUUGAGACAGUAUGAAUCAAGCUGACUUUUUUUUUUUCCAAGGAGUUUUUAAACUAUAUAUGUGACACCCCGAUGAAUAAGAAGAGCAGCCAGCUGAGAAGGGGAACUCUACAAAGCUAUUUUUUCAACAGCUGUGACUGACCCACUCACCUCACAGGACUCCAGUGGGCACUAAUGGAAAUGGAGAGAAAGACAAACAAGAUGACCCUGUUAGCUCCCUGUGUACUGCAGAUGUGGUGUAGGCUGUGCUCCGAACUUAGAGAGAAGAAGGAAGAGAGGACAACCCCUCUAUCCCCAAAUUCUCUUCCAACCCUGUUCUGCCAGCCAUCUGAUUGGAAGCAAGAGGGAAGGGAGGCCUGUGGUGACCUCUCUCUUGACAACAGGGGAAAACCUGACCCUAGAAAAAUCAGCUCAAUCAAUAUCAUGUGAUCUUAUCAAAGCAAGCAACCCUACUCCCUAAACUGGUGGAAACGGUGUGAAUGUCAACUAGAGUUCUAUACUUUAAAAACAACAAAAAUAUUGCAAAUUUU